rnacentral:rRNA from 1 species
CGCGCAGGCGGCUCUUGAAGUCAGGCGUGAAAGCCCCGGGCUCAACCUGGGAGGUGCGCUUGAUACUCUGGGGCUGGAGUGCGGGAGAGGAGAGUGGAAUUCCCAGUGUAGAGGUGAAAUUCGUAGAUAUUGGGAAGAACACCGGUGGCGAAGGCGGCUCUCUGGACCGUAACUGACGCUGAGGCGCGAAAGCGUGGGGAGCAAACAGGAUUAGAUACCCUGGUAGUCCACGCUGUAAACGAUGUGCGCUAGACGUUGGGGGACCUAGUUCCCCGGUGUCGCAGCUAACGCGUUAAGCGCACCGCCUGGGGAGUACGGCCGCAAGGUUAAA